GCUUGCCUGGCCCAACAGGAAGAUAUGGGAUGGCAGAGAAAUGGUGGAGAGCCUGCACUCCCCCCAUCUGCAAAAGAUGAAGAUCCUCUGAGUCCCCCAGCCUAGAAAGGGGAGGUCAGGGUGGGGAGACCUGUGUCAGGAGCUAUGAGGGCAGGAGAGAGGAUGAGCCAGAAGUGGAAGCCCCAUCCAGGGUAGGAAGAGUGGGGGGGGGGCCCAUAGCACUGCAUAGGCCCUUCCUCCACACCCAAGCCAGCACUGUGAUGCCACCACACAGAAGAACCAGGGGCAAUAAUCAGAGAAGAUGACCAGGGGUGAAGAAUCAGAACAUAGUGAGGUAUGGUACUGGGGCAGGAGGCUAAGGAAGGGGGUGUCUCUACUGAGGAUACCCCUCAUUCCUGACUAUUCCUGGGACUAUGGUGCUGAGAAGGAGAAGAGGGAGUGUCAGAAGCCAAACUAUGUACCCAGUGCUACAUGGGUUGCCAGAUAAAAUACAGGAUGCCCAGUUCAAGUUUAGUUUCAGAUUAACAAUGAAUACUUGUCAGGAUAAUUAUAUCCCAAAUACUGCCUGGGACGUACUUAUCCUAAAAAAAAUACAUUUGGAUAUUUUUAUUCCAUAUUCAAUAUCAUUGAAUAUGAAAUUGAAAAUAACAUUUGUACUUGCUAAAUCUGCUAACCCAACCUUCUCUGUCCCCAAUACUAAUUCAUGCAUGUGUCCACAUCACAUAUACACCCUGCUCCCCCAGGCUGCUGUAGCCCUUUGAUCUGAGUUUGAGACUGAAUCUUAACAACUAAGGAACUGUUCUAAUAAACCAAAGAGGCUGGCAAGUUAAGAAAUUGGGCCAUGAUGUCAUUAAAAACUCUGCGGCCCAGUGAGAAAGUUGAGGUUUCAGGAAAAGACAGGUGGGGGUAUGUAUUAGAAAGCUAGAACUGUUUGCUGGUUUUGCCCCUGAGCAUUGACCAACUACGCUGUCCUCCAGUCUGAAGUUACUCUUCCCAGUUCUUCUGGCUUGCUUAUAAGGUGUCACUGUCUUUUCUGUCAGGGGCCUUAUCUCUCUGUGGAUCCUGACCGUUAUGGUUUGGAUAUGAGGUCUCCCCACAAAGCUCACGUGUGAGACAAUGCAAGAAGGUUCNUGAGCAAAUUAAUCCCCUGAUGGGAUUAACUGAGUGGGAGCUGAAGGCAAGUGGGGUGUGGCUGGAGGAGGUGGGGCAUUGGAGGUGUGGCUUUGGGGUAUAUAUCUGUAUCUGGCAAGUGGAGAUCUCUUUCUGCUGCCUGAUGAUCAUGUGAGCUGCUUCUUUUGGUCACACUCUUCUGCCACGAUGUCCUGCCUCACCUUGAGCCCCGAGGAAUGGAGCCAGCCUCUGAUGGUCUGAAACCUCUGAAACCGUGAGCCC
rnacentral:lncRNA from 1 species